UAGCAGCCGCCAUGGCCGCGGCCGCCGCGCGCUCCCUCUCCGGGCCCGGCCGCCGGGCGCUGCCGCUGCCGCUGGUGGUGAUCGUGGGAGCCACGGGCACCGGCAAGUCCGAGCUGGCGCUGCAGCUGGGCCGGCGGCUGGGCGGCGAGAUCGUGGGCGCCGACUCCAUGCAGGUAUACAAGGGGCUGGACAUCAUCACAAACAAGAUCUCUCCCCAGGAGCAGGCUUUGUGCAGACACCACAUGAUCAGCUUUGUGGAUCCCUUGGUCUCUAACUACACUGUGGUGGACUUCCGGAACAAAGCAGCGGCCCUGAUUGAAGAUAUAUUUGCUCGAGAGAAGAUCCCAAUCGUUGUGGGAGGCACCAACUAUUACAUCGAGUCCCUGCUCUGGAAGGUCCUUGUCGAUACCAAGGAACAUUCACAGAGGUUUGACUUGGGUGGGCUGAUCUGUGCCCCGCAGGAGAAGACCAGCCCUUCCCCUGGGCAAGCAGCCGACCGGAAGGUGGAACUGGAGCAGCUGGAUGGCCGUGAGCUCCAUUGCCGGCUGAGCCAUGUGGACCCGGAAAUGGCUGCCAAGUUGCAUCCCCAUGAUAAGCGCAAAGUGGCCAGGAGCCUGCAAGUAUUUGAAGAAACUGGGAUCCCCCAUAGCGAGUUCCUGCAUCGGCAGCGAGAGGAGGAAGGUGGGGGCCCAUUGGGGGGGCCCCUGAAGUACCCAAACUCCUGUAUCUUGUGGCUUUAUGCAGACCAGGCAGCUCUAGAUGAGCGGCUGGACAAGCGGGUGGAUGACAUGGUAGCAGCGGGGCUCCUGGAGGAGCUGCGGGACUUCCACUGGCGUUACAACCAGGAGAAGGUGGCUGAGAACUGCCAGGAUUAUCAGCACGGCAUUUUCCAGUCUAUUGGCUUCAAGGAGUUCCACGAGUACCUUAUCACGGAGGGGAAGUGCCCUCAGGAGACCAGCGCCUUGCUGCUGGAGAAAGGGAUCCAGGCCCUGAAACUAGUGACGAAGAGAUAUGCCCGGAAGCAGAACAAGUGGGUCCGAAACCGCUUCUUGAGACGCUUUCGAGAGGGCUGGGCAUAUCAGGACGUGCUGUUCCUGCUUUGCUCCCGGCCCAUCUGGACCAGGCCUGCCCAAGACCUUGCUGCCCCGGCCUUGUCUGUGCUCAUUCCCCAUCCCACCUGAAGCGGACGUUCCUGAGCAAUCUUCCCAGGCCCUCUUCGGUGUGCUUGCUCCCUAAUUGUCCAGCUAUGACAGGGAAGUCUCCACCCCUCCCAGGAAAAGCUCCCUCUUUGCUGGCUAAAAUCCCAGAAGAACAAAGCCCCACACGCCACCUGUCCCUCCACACGUCCCCUCCUCCUGCGCUAGCUGUUGCUGGCAGUCAGAUCCCUGGCUGCCUACAGGCCAGCUCUCUCCUGAAAGGGGCUACAGAGGAUCUGCCCCUCGUGUUUACCUCUCCCCAUGAGCCCACAUGCGUGCCAGGCUGGAGUGAAAAGUCCAACUGACAGCUGCCCUCCAGAUUAGGAGCUGCAGCCGAUUGGCUGUUACAGGCCUGCUGUGGACACCAUGAUGGCAAGAAGCCAGUGGGACUUCCCUCGCCCUGGAGCAGGGCCAGGAUCAGCAGCUGGGAGCCGAACAUUUGUUGAAAGGUGGCUGGUAGGGGCAAGAAAAAGAAAAAGAAACCCAACCAGGCCAAAAGACUGGCUUUGAACUGUGUGCAGAGCUUUCCCGGGGCCAGGUGCGUGGCAUCCGCGUCUCACCUUUCUGCCGAGCAGCAGAUGGGGGACAGGUGUGCCUUCGAUCGGCCUCUUAAGAGCCUUCUUUGUGGCUGGAGCAAUAAAAGGCAGCACCUGCCGGAUGCCGAAGCCUUUGAUGGCUUUGUCUGAGUGGGUGAGGCGCUCGCUCUGCCGGCUGGCAGGUGAAUGACAUCGCUGGGGAGUGUGCGCUGCCUGGUUUGCAGACAUCUCUGCGCUCUGAGUGCUGGCCGGGCCUCUGGAAGUGCCAAACGCCCUCACGUUGGCUCAAGGAGGCAGAUGGGGUUGGUUUUAAAAUAGUCCUACACCAAAUGAAGGCGUUCAGAUGAAGCACACCCAUUGCUACCUGCGUGUCCACCUCUGCAGCCUUAUUAGCUGUGACAGCUGUAAAUAAAGCAACCAGGCUGAGACCCUCAAAAGCAAAUACCUGAUCCAAGCACCAGGCUCGAGUCUCCCUAGAAGAACAGCUGCACCUCAUGUAAUGGCUAUGUCCUGGAGCCAUCUUGGUCUCCAUCUGACUCUUCCGCUGGCUGAGUGAGCGUGGACUUUUCCAGUGGACCGUGCAGGCCCUGGACCCAAUGUGCCCCCAGUGUAUGGUUUGGAGGUGUCUGAUCUCUCACAGUGGGAUGAGAAUGUGUUGAAACCUGCCCUUCAGAUUGUGGAGAGCUUCAUCCAG